rnacentral:rRNA from 1 species
UACGAAGGGGGCUAGCGUUGUUCGGAUUAACUGGGCGUAAAGGGCGCGUAGGCGGAUUUUUAAGUCAGGGGUGAAAUCCCAUGGCUCAACCUUGGAACGGCCUUUGAUACUGGAGAUCUUGAGUCCGGGAGAGGUGAGUGGAACUGCGAGUGUAGAGGUGAAAUUCGUAGAUAUUCGCAAGAACACCAGUGGCGAAGGCGGCUCACUGGCCCGGUACUGACGCUGAGGCGCGAAAGCGUGGGGAG